AGGGUGUAAACGCUGCAGACUUGGUGUUGGGAACCCUUCGGGGUGGCUCAGUGCCGGAGAGAAGUUGUUAAGUCUGCUACUUGGGGAGUACGUCCGCAAGGAUGAACUUAAAGGAAUUGGCGGGGGGAGGCACCGCAACGGGAGGAGCGUGCGGUUUAAUUGGAUUCAACACCGUAAAACUACACCAGGGAAGACUGUUACAUGAAAGCCGAGAUGAAGACUCUGCUAGAUUUUCUAGAGAGGUGGUGCAUGGCGUCAGUGACU
rnacentral:rRNA from 1 species